AUUGAACGCUGGCGGCAGGCCUAACACAUGCAAGUCGAACGGUAACAGGAAGCAGCUUGCUGCUUUGCUGACGAGUGGCGGACGGGUGAGUAAUAUCUGGGAAACUGCCUGAUGGAGGGGGAUAACUACUGGAAACGGUAGCUAAUACCGCAUAACGUCGCAAGACCAAAGAGGGGGACCUUCGGGCCUCUUGCCAUCGGAUGUGCCCAGAUGGGAUUAGCUAGUAGGUGGGGUAACGGCUCACCUAUGCGACGAUCCCUAGCUGGUCUGAGAGGAUGACCAGCCACACUGGAACUGAGACACGGUCCAGACUCCUACGGGAGGCAGCAGUGGGGAAUAUUGCACAAUGGGCGCAAGCCUGAU
rnacentral:rRNA from 1 species